AUUACUCCUACGGGAGGCAGCAGUGGGGAAUAUUGGACAAUGGGGGCAACCCUGAUCCAGCCAUGCCGCGUGAGUGAUGAAGGCCUUAGGGUUGUAAAACUCUUUUAUCCGGGAAGAUAAUGACUGUACCGGAAGAAUAAGCCCCGGCUAACUUCGUGCCAGCAGCCGCGGUAAUAAU
rnacentral:rRNA from 1 species